CGGCGCACGGGUGCGUAACGCGUAUGCAAUCUACCUUUUACAGAGGGAUAGCCCAGAGAAAUUUGGAUUAAUACCUCAUAGUAUUAUAGAAUGGCAUCAUUUUAUAAUUAAAGUCACAACGGUAAAAGAUGAGCAUGCGUCCCAUUAGCUAGUUGGUAAGGUAACGGCUUACCAAGGCUACGAUGGGUAGGGGUCCUGAGAGGGAGAUCCCCCACACUGGUACUGAGACACGGACCAGACUCCUACGGGAGGCAGCAGUGAGGAAUAUUGGACAAUGGGCGCAAGCCUGAUCCAGCCAUGCCGCGUGCAGGAUGACGGUCCUAUGGAUUGUAAACUGCUUUUAUACAGGAAGAAACACCUCUACGUGUAGAGACUUGACGGUACUGUAAGAAUAAGGAUCGGCUAACUCCGUGCCAGCAGCCGCGGUAAUACGGAGGAUCCAAGCGUUAUCCGGAAUCAUUGGGUUUAAAGGGUCCGUAGGCGGUCAGAUAAGUCAGUGGUGAAAGCCCAUCGCUCAACGGUGGAACGGCCAUUGAUAC
rnacentral:rRNA from 1 species